ACGGAGGAUCCAAGCGUUAUCCGGAUUUAUUGGGUUUAAAGGGAGCGUAGGUUGACAUAUAAGUCAGCUGUGAAAGUUUACGGCUCAACCGUGAAAUUGCAGUUGAUACUGUAUGUCUUGAGUGUACAAGAGGUGGGCGGAAUUCGUGGUGUAGCGGUGAAAUGCUUAGAUAUCACGAAGAACUCCAAUUGCGAAGGCAGCUCACUGGGGUACAACUGACACUGAGGCUCGAAAGUGUGGGUAUCAAACAGGAUUAGAUACCCUGGUAGUCCACACAGUAAACGAUGAAUACUCGCUGUUUGCGAUAUACAGUAAGCGGCCAAGCGAAAGCAUUAAGUAUUCCACCUGGGGAGUACGCCGGCAACGGUG
rnacentral:rRNA from 1 species